rnacentral:lncRNA from 1 species
GACAUAGACUGGCAGAUUGGAUUAAAAAAAGACCCAAUAAUAUGCUGCCUCCAAGCGACUCAUCUCAUAGGAAAAGAUAUACACAGACUAAUGGUAAAAUGUUGGAAAAAAUAAUUCCACUCACAUGGUCUGUGGAAAUAAACAGGGGUUUACAUCCUCAUAUCAAGUAAAGUAGACUUCAAGCCAAAGUUAAUCAAAAGGGAUAAAGAAGAACAUUUCAUACUGCUCAAGGGAACAAUACACCAACAUGACAUAACAAUUAUAAAUAUAUAUGCCCCUAACAAUGAAUCAUCUAUGUUCAUCAAACAAACUCUUCUCAAGUUCCAGAGUCAAAUUGACUAUAACUCAAUAAUUCUGGGUGAAUUUAAAGUACCUCUUUCACCACUGGAUAGAUGUUCCAAACAAAAGCUGAACAAAGAAACUAUAGAACUCAAUAAUAUAAUCAUUAACUUAGACUUAGCUGACAUAUACAGAAUAUUUCACCCAUCAAUGAGGGAAUAAACUUUUUUUCUCAGCAGUACAUGAUCCUUCUCUAAAAUAGACCAUAUAUUAUGCCACUAAGCAACUCUUCACAAAUAUGGAAAAAAGUAGAGAUAUUAUGCUGCAUUCUAUCAUAUCAUAAUGGAAAAAAAUUAAAAAUCAAUAAUAAAGUAAAAAAAAGGUACUACAACACCUGGGGACUAAAGAAUAAGCUAUUGAGUGAAGAAUGGGUUGCAAAAGACAUCAGAGAAGAUUAAAAAAUUCUUAGAGGAAAAUGAGAACACUGAUACAACAUAUUGAAAUCUCUGGUACACUGUGAAGCUAAUACUAAGAGGAAAGUUCAUUGCUUGGAGUUUAGUCCUGAAAAGAAAAAAAAGUCAUCAAAUAAAUGACCUAACAUUACAUCUUAGAAAGCCCUAGAAAAAGAAGAACAAAUCAACACCAAAAGCAGUAAAAUAAGGAAGUAAUUAAAAUAAGAGCUGAAAUCAAUGAAAUGGAAACAAAUGAAAUAAUUGAAAACAAAAUGACAAAAUAAAAGUUGAUUCUUUGAAAAAAAUAAUUAAAAGUGAUAAACCCUUAGCCAUGCUAAUGAAGAAAAGGAGAGAGAAAACUCAAAUUACUAACAACCAUGAUGAAAAAGGAAAUAUCACAACAGACACUACAGAAAUACAGAAG